GAUGAACGUUGGCGGCGUGCUUAACACAUGCAAGUCGAGCGAUGAAGUUUUCUUCGGGAAACGGAUUAGCGGCGGACGGGUGAGUAACGCGUGGGUAACCUGCCCUGUACACACGGAUAACAUACCGAAAGGUAUGCUAAUACGAGAUAAUAUGCUUUUAUCGCAUGGUAGAAGUAUCAAAGCUUUUUCGGUACAGGAUGGACCCGCGUCGGAUUAGCUAGUUGGUAAGGGAACGUCUUACCAAGGCGACGAUCAGUAGCCGACCUGAGAGGGUGAUCGGCCACAUUGGAACUGAGACACGGUCCAAACUCCUACGGGAGGCAGCAGUGGGGAAUAUUGCACAAUGGGCGAAAGCCUGAUGCAGCAACGCCGCGUGAGCGAUGAAGGCCUUCGGGUCGUAAAGCUCUGUCCUCAAGGAAGAUAAUGACGGUACUUGAGGAGGAAGCCCCGGCUAACUACGUGCCAGCAGCCGCCGUAA
rnacentral:rRNA from 1 species